rnacentral:rRNA from 1 species
CCAAUAGCGUAUAUUAAAGUUGUUGCAGUCAAAAAGCUCGUAGUUGAAUUUCGGGAUCAAUAUGUUGGUCGUGCCUUUGGUACGUACUGGUAUUAUUGGUUUCUCCUUUCUGAUGAAUCACGAUGUCAUUAAUUUGGUGUCAUGGGGAGUCAGGACUGUUACUUUGAAAAAAUUAGAGUGUUUAAAGCAGGCUUACGCUUGAAUACAUUAGCAUGGAAUAAUGAAAUAGGACGUUUAAUUCUAUUUUGUUGGUUUCUAGGAUUGACGUAAUGAUUAAUAGGGAUAGUUGGGGGCAUUAGUAUUCAAUGGUCAGAGGUGAAAUUCUUGGAUUUAUUGAAGACUAACUACUGCGAAAGCAUUUGCCAAGGAUGUUUUCAUUAAUCAAGAACGAAAGUUAGGGGAUCGAAGACGAUCAGAUACCGUCGUAGUCUUAACCAUAAACUAUGCCGACUAGGGAUCGGAUGAUGUUAAUUUAUGACUCAUUCGGCGCCUUAC